GGAUUCCCCUAGUAACGGCGAGUGAAGAUGGAUGAGCCCAGCACCGAAGCCUGUGGUCNUUUGACUGCUAGGCAAUGUGGUGUUUAGGUUAGUUCAUGGCGAUUCUUAUCCACCCUAAGUCCAGCAAUGAGUAUGGCUUACUGGUGUGGCCCAAAGAGGGUGAAAGGCCCGUUAGGGUGGAGAAAGAUUUGCCUUGAAUUGACCUUGGAGUCGGGUUGUUUGUGAAUGCAGCCCAAAGUGGGUGGUAAACUCCAUCCAAGGCUAAAUACUGGCACGAGUCCGAUAGUAAACAAGUACCGUGAGGGAAAGUUGAAAAGUACUUUGAAGAGAGAGUAAACAGUGCGUGAAACCGCUCAGAGGUAAACGGGUGGAGUUGAACUGCAAUCCUUGAGGAUUCAGCUAAUGAGUAUGAUGUGUCCUUGUGCACAGUGGUCGGCAUUCAGGGUCCGCUCAGCUGCGGGUCUCUGCUCUUUGGGUGGAGAUGUGCGAUACACUUAUCAAGUGUUGUGCGCCUUGGGUGAACCGGGUCUGCUCGUUAGUGCACUUUCUUGAGGUGAUCACCACGACCGACACUGCUGUCUGUCUGCUGUAGUUAAACCGGUCAGGUUUGGUCUUUGGCUAGACUUGAUCGGGAUGGCAGGUAGCUCUUUGGUUCGGCUUGCCUGAGCCUUAGAGUGUAAUUAGCUGGCUAUGGCAAGUCUGUGCAGUGUGUCGGAGCUUGCGGCUUUAGUAUGUGCAUACGUGCUAUGGUCUGCUGGCGGGAUGAAGUCUGGUUGGCAAGUUACCUGCUUUGGCAGGUCGGUCGAUGGCUUCAACUCGUUCAGUAGGUGGUAGCGUGUGUGAUACUGUCUAUGGCCUAUAGUCUGUGGUGUAGUGGUAGACUAUCCACCUGACCCGUCUUGAAACACGGACCAAGGAGUUUAACAUGUACGCGAGUCAUUGGGCGUUACUAAACCCAAAGGCGCAGUGAAGGUAAAGGUUCGGCUUGUCCGAGCUGAGGUGAGAUCCCGUUGUUUGACCUUACAGUAAAUUUCAAAUGCCGAGCAGCGGGCGCAUCACCGGCCCGUCUCAUGACGUUGUCACAUAGCCUUGUGUUGUGUGCAUCGUCGGGGCGGAGCUAGAGCGUACACGUUGAGACCCGAAAGAUGGUGAACUAUGCUUGUGGAGGUUGAAGCCAGAGGAAACUCUGGUGGAGGACCGAAGCGAUUCUGACGUGCAAAUCGAUCGUCUAACGUGAGUAUAGGGGCGAA
rnacentral:rRNA from 1 species